rnacentral:tRNA from 1 species
GUCCGGGUGGUGGAAUUGGUAGACACGCUACUUUGAGGGGGUAGUGGCCGUUGGGCUGUGUGAGUUCGAAUCUCAUCUCGGACACCC